GACGAACGCUGGCGGCGUGCUUAACACAUGCAAGUCGAGCGGUAAGGCCCUUCGGGUACGACGAGCGGCGAACGGGUGAGUAACACGUGGGUGACCUGCCCUUACGCUCUGGGAUAAGCCUGGGAAACUGGGUCUAAUACCGGAUAUGACCUCAUGACGCAUGUUGUGGGGUGGAAAGCCUUGUGCGGCUAGGGAUGGGCCCGCGGCCUAUCAGCUUGUUGGUGGGGUGAUGGCCACCAAGGCGACGACGGGUAGCCGGCCUGAGAGGGCGACCGGCCACACUGGGACUGAGACACGGCCCAGACUCCUACGGGA
rnacentral:rRNA from 1 species